UGGUGGAUGUGUGUGUGUCGCGAACCAGGAAGGAGAAAAGGGAAAAAACCCCUUAUCAUCACAAAAUCACCAAAUUGAAGCCCCAAAUGUGAUCCUAAGAUCGUGCAUGUACUAAUAUUGGAUCAUCUACACAUUAUUAAACACAAGGAGUAAAAGAGGAAGACACAAGCCAUUCCGGAUCACAAGCAAAACACGACAAAGGUAAAGCUACUUGAUGGAUGGCAUAUUGGACCGAACACACUUGUGAUGCACGCUUCCGCGAAGUUGCUAGUCGUGGUCUAAACUUUUGUUAAAUGUUUCUUUUGUUUAAAACGGGUCGUAUGUAAGUAACUUAACCCGGUAGUUCUUAGAUCUUGAACUUGUAGUUAAAAUGGUAUGGGUUGUAAACUCUUUUUUUGUAACUAUUUCGUUAGUCAUGUUGAAGUAAAUGCAGAAUUUUAGUUAUGAACUAUUCGACCCGUUUGGUUUUUGUCA